UGUGGUAUGGCUAACAUGGUAAAGUGCCUGCCUAGCAAGCACAAGGUCCUGAGUUCAAAUUCCAGGACUACAA
rnacentral:tRNA from 1 species